CAAUGUUAUCGUAGUAAACGCCACACAUAGUUCGUUCCAAAAUCAUUUUAAAAUGUACGACAUGUUGAUGAUUAGCGGACAGGCGGUCAGUUUAUUAUGUGGUGAGCUGUUUUCUCACAAAACAGUUUAUUCAGCGUACUGAAGAAUCUCCCCAUUAACGUCCAUAAAAAACGGCCUCUGGUGUCCUGGUUGCAAUGUUUUGCUAACCUAUAGAAGCUUUGGUUCUGGUUUGCGCUGAUAAAACAGUGGCAUAGGGCCACGCCUUCGUUGCCUGAAGCUGUUGUACGGCGAGGCAAAAGGAUCAUACUUUGUGAUUUAUUAUUAUUUUUUUAAAUAAAGAAAUGUGAGAGCGACGUACUGACUAUUUCCCUGCAGUGAUAUCUCUGAACAUGCUGCCUCCUCCAGCAGUGUUUCACCUCCCAUGGGAACUCAACACAGAUUUGGUAAAAGAUGGUGCAUCAGUGCGAACGCAUGGCAGAUACUGCUGCUUCCUCUGCCAUCUUCAGAACAGGAUACUGCCAUUCCCUUCUAGAUUCCUCUCAUGGUCCUAAUCAUGCCCCAAACAUCUCCCACAGACUUACAAGUUACCAGCCAGAGAAGUCCAUCGCCACUCUAAGUGCCAAGCAGUCCUCUGCACAGUUCCAUGUGUCUGUACAAACAUCAUUUGUUGAACCUUUCCAGCCUAUAAUUGGAGCUCAGUAUCUUGUUCUUGGGGAGAUUGAAAAGGCUGAAGGAGUGAUUGGAGUUACACUGCAUGCUCGUGCUUUAAGUUGCAUUGAUGGAGUAGACUUCACACUACUGCAACGGGCCAUUAUGGACCAGAGAUGCUUCUUUAAGGAGAGAGAGACUGAGCUGAAUGUGCAAGCUUCCCACUGUGAAAGCACUUAACCCUCUCAAAUAAGGUGAUGUGAAGCAGACGAAAGUGUGAAGAUAAAAUCUGAUAUCUCCAAGAGCAGAGAUCAUCCACCUGUGCAGCCACUCUUAACAACAUAUCCAAAGACACUGAUGGGGGACAGGAAGAGGAGCUUCAAAGCAGAAUGGUACAAGAUUCAUCCCUGGCUUUAGUACUCCAGAAUAUUAGACUCUGCAUAUUGUUAUGCCUGUCGAUAUUUUAGCCCUCCCAACAGCCCAUUGUCAGUUUUUGAGAGUGGUUUUAAAAACUGGAAGAAGGCAACCUACAAGGAAGGGGGAUUUGCAAUUCAUGCAAGACCAGAGCACCACAAGCAAGCCAUGGUUGCAUUUAAAGACUAUGAGACAGCAGUGAAAAACAACAGAACUUUGCUAAAUGCCUUGAACAAAGAACAUGACAAGCAGAUUAAAGAAAACCGGGAGUAUUUGAAAACAAUAGCUGAAGUACUUCUACUAACUGCCACACAGAACAUUGCUCAAAGAGGACACAAUGAUUCGGCAGGGUCAGACAACAGGGGUAACUUCAUAGCAAUCUUGGAAACAUUUGCCAAACAUGACAAAACUCUGAAAAAAAGGUUUCUUUCUAUCCAUAAUGCCAAAUACACCAGCAAAGCAAUUCAGAAUGAGGUUUUGAGUUGUUUGGCAGACAUGGUUAGAACACAAAUAAUAGGAGCUUCUCCACUCUAAAACUGGUCAAGACACAUCUGAGAUCUACUAUGGCAGAUGAGAGAGUUAGCAACUUGGGUGUAUUGAGUAUUGAAUCCAAGCAUGCAAAUAAAUUGAAUCUUGAAGAAUUUGUUGAUGUGUUUGCAAGGAACCACAGAAAUUGCAGAAUACAGCUUUUAUAAUAAAAGCUAAAAGCCUUUUAAUUUCCUGAUUUCUGUGUAUUUCCAUCCACACCUGUCAUAUCUGUUCAGGGUCAUUUCUUAAAACAAUUGUUACCUCCAACCUUCUUGUAGUCUUGUUUGUUUUUUAGACUGGCAUUAUUUGUCUGCUUUCCUCACAGGAAGGAAAGGAUAACACCUUACUUCUCCACUGCACUGGUCGUGUGCAUGAACUUACAACAGUGUAAAUGUUUUGUAAAGAUUAUUGCUCCUCCUAAUCCCUCUGGCCAGCAUCUCCCUAUAUUCCUUUUGAGAUAAGGCACGUACACUGUGUCAAUGGGGAUUUCUGCUGAUACAAACAAUUACCACAUCCGGUCCCUUAUCAGGCUAAUUAAGCCUCCGAAAGGGAUAAAGGCCGAAUGUGGAUGGUGGUGCGACAGAGAGAGCUCUUUUACAGGCAGCUGACCGCCAU